ACGGGCGUAGCUCAACUGGCAGAGCAUCGGUCUCCAAAACCGAGGGCUGAGGGUUCGAGUCCUUCCGCCCGUGCCA
rnacentral:tRNA from 1 species